rnacentral:rRNA from 1 species
UACAGAGGGUGCGAGCGUUGUCCGGAAUCACUGGGCGUAAAGGGCGCGUAGGCGGCCUGGUAAGGUUGCGGUGAAAGCCCGGGGCUCAACCCCGGGUCGGCCGUGGCAACUGCUGGGCUGGAGCACAGUAGAGGCGGGUGGAAUUCCGGGUGUAGCGGUGGAAUGCGUAGAGAUCCGGAAGAACACCGGUGGCGAAGGCGGCCCGCUGGGCUGUGAGGGGCAACCCUCGAAAGCUGACGCUGAGG